UAGGUGAUGGGCAUUGAGGAGGGCACCUGUUGGGAUGAGUACUGGGUGUUGUAUGGAAACCAAUUUGACAAUGAAUUAUAUUUAAUAUAAAAAAAUCACUAGAGGUCAUGAAAAAUAGAACAAAAGAAGUGGGAUGGGAAUGGGAGUCAAGGACCUACUUUUUGCUAAUGUCACAUACUUCUGUCUUAGAGCAGGGCAGUUUCAAUUAGUUUGCAUCUGGUUGAAGAAGAAGGAAUGUAUCUGUUCUCUCCACAGACAACUGGCUAAAUAGAAAUAACUCCCCAUCCAGAAGAUAAGAAGUUUAUGGCUGGAUUGAAAACCAGGCAUGUUUGCCUCUGAGGUCUGUGCUCCUUCCACUGGUGGAGUCAGGAAGACAUGGACUCUGAGCAUUGUUCAAUCCCUUACCAGGGGUGUGACUUGAGUGAAGUAGCCACAGAGUGGAUUGUUUCUGGCAAGAAGAGGACUGUGACUGGCUUCUCCAGCAACACAACUGGCUGCUUUCUGGAUCAUCAUCUUUGACCAUUAUUGUGUACUGUGGGACAGCACAUUAAUUUGAAUAUGUUUUGAAACCAAGAAUCAUUAGGUAGAAAUUCUAUUUGUGUGUAUCUGAGUAUAUAAAAUGAGUCGAAGAAAAGCAA